CUCUGAGGACGAAAGACACAGCGGCGCGUCCAGGACGAUGUUUGGCAACACUCAUGCUCAAAAAGCGACACAACAAAAUUUAAUUUCAGACAUUUAUUUACUAUUUUAAUCAUAAAUAACCUAAAACUUUGGUAAAGUCAUUUCAAGCACCAAAACAACUCGUACAACACGUCAUAAGUUAAGGUUUAUUUUCAAAAGAGAUUUGAAGAAUUUCAAAAAGACACCUACUUUUUAAAUUAUCUC